GAGGGAGUAGCUCAAGUGGUAGAGCUCAUGCUUAGCAUGCAUGAGGUCCUGGGUUCAAUCACCAGUACCUCCA
rnacentral:tRNA from 1 species